CCCCCCUCCAUAACUCAAAAGCUUGUCAAGCUGGUUCCAGACUCCUGGCGCCGGGCUCCGCUCCAGGAAAGAAAAAAAGGAAAAAGAAAAAGGGAAAAAGCCGGCGAGAGGGAGCGAGAAAGGGCCGCAGAGCGAAACUGCGCCCCCGGAGCCGCGCAGCAUCGCGGUCCCCGUCCCCCGUCCCCGCUCCCCCAACCCUGGUGGGGAACCCCGGCACCCUGGGGCCAGAGGCCGCGCGCGCCACACUGAUCAAUUAUUUAUGGGCGAAUCAAUUAUUCAGCUGCCCGGGGAAGGGGAGGGGAGGGGAGGGCCGAGGAGGGGGCGAGCGGCUGCGGAGACCACCCCGCUGGAGGUCGCGGCUCUCCCGCUGGGCCUCGGGGGUCGGGAGGCGUCCCCACGCCGGGGGUCCUGUUGUGAGAAAGCUGCCUCGGGGUGGGCUCCGGGAGGAGCGCGGGGGAAUCCGCCGAAGCGAGAGAGGAGGCUGAGAAACCGCCCAAUUAAGACUGGGGCCGGGGGAUGAAGAGCCAGAGGCCGGGGUUGGAAAGAGCUGGCUGGACGGGAGGGGGCGUGGGAAGAAGCCUGGCCUGGCAAGUCUUUCCUUUCUUACUUGGUUCAUUCCCAUCUUUAGGGCGAGCCCACUGCAGUGCCACUGUGCCCACCUCCGAGGGUUCAGAGCAGGAAUUUGGAGUGCAAGCAGGGUGCAGGUCCUCUUUGGCACUGAAUUCGCCCCAUGCUGUGUGGCCUUAGGCUAGGGGCUCGCCCUCUCUGAGCCUUGGCAUCCUCAUCUGCUGGAUGGAAAAGAGCAGAAUGAGGACGUGAUGGAGAUGGAGACACGGAGGCAGAGGAGGCAGACGCAGAGGCAGAGGGCGAAGGAAUGAGGAGGCUGGAAGAGGCGAGCCGUCGGCAGGACCACUGGCCUCAGUAACCUGCAAGGGUCUGGAAAGAAAAUCCAGAUGAGAGUUUAUGCACCGCCUGUGAAAGGCUUGGAGAAAUCAAACACGAUGCAGUCACUACAGGGGCCGGAGGCUAAGAUGUGUAACAAAAUUAGGUGACAGACCCCAACGAAAUCUAAUCAAACGAGGACACUGAGGCUCAGAGAGCUGCCAUGGGACCUGGGACUCAGAGCCAGGCUCAGGAAAUGCCGGCAGAGGGCUGAGAAGAAACCCGCAGCUCUCCAUCUGUGGGGCUGCUUUUGCCCUCGAAGCCUGGGGACCUUGGCCCCUCCCAGCCCCAGGGGUACAGAGCAGCAGCAGUGGAAGGGGAAUGGGGACAGGGGACCAUCUCUCCAACUCCCUUAUUUCACACCAGGGGACUGGCUAUCAGAGAGAGGAAGAGAGGCUUCGAGGUCCUCUAGUCCAAUGGCUGCUGGUCUCCUGAGUCCUGCCCAUGGGCUCCUCCUACUGCACGACCACAUCCCCCUCCUCUUUAUUAUUAUUUUUGUAAUUUUCUCUUUUUAGGGCCACACCCUUGGCAUAUGGAAGUUCCCAGGCUAGGGGUCAAAUCCUAGCUGCAGCUGCCAGCCUAUGCCACAGCCACAGCCACAGCAAUGCCAGAUCCGAGCUGCAUCUGCUACCUACACCGCGCAGCCGGCAGCAACACUGGAUCUUUAAUCCACCACGCGAAGCCAGGGAUCGAACCCCCAUCCUCAUGGAUACCGAUCGGGUUCUUAAUCCGCCGAGCCUCAAGGGGAACUACCCCAUUCCUCUUUAAAAACGAUAUUUAAAAGUUAUUAGUGGUAGCAUCUUACUAAGAAAAGAUCAUUAAAGGAAUGAGAAGA